AUGUAGGGUAAUCUGUCUUUAAGUAAGGAUAAAUUACUCUAAAAAAAAAUGAAUUCCAGGUAGUUUUCCCUUCAAGUCAAGCAUCUUAU
rnacentral:pre_miRNA from 1 species